rfam:Ictidomys tridecemlineatus contig007756, whole genome shotgun sequence.
GGGGCUGUAGCUCAGCAGCAGAGCACUUGUCUAGCAUGCAUGAGACACUGAGUUCCAUCCUUAGCACCGCCU